UAACUCCGGGGUUCAGGCAAAUGACACACUCUCUAGUCAUUUGCCAGGCAGUUAGCGGGCAGGGUGUGCCAGACAUGUCCCUGAGCAGUGGGACUUGGCUGGGCUGCCAGCUGCCCCCGACGGCCCUGCGAUGCAGCCCUGCCCAAGGUGAGAUGAACUCAUCUUGAGAGAGCUGACAGACAGAGGCAUGCUCUGCUGGCCAGAGAACAGGCAGGUGUCCCCAUCCUACUCCCGUCUUCCUCACUUCUCAUGCCCAAUGAAGUGCAGCAAGCUCUGACGGAUAUCCUGCCUGCUUUCCCUUUGAGCCUAGUCUCUCUCUCUCUCCUGUGCACUUGCUUUCUUUCUUUUUUCCCAUCCCCAUCACUUAUUCAUGGAACAGGUUCAACUCCCAGCACUGAUGUCUGGAAACGAUGCGUGGACACACAAGUAACAGUGGGUGGUUUCGAGAGUGGCCAGCGUGUAUAAUAGCAGUUGGGCAAUGGAGCCACACAACAUAAAGGAGAGCCAGAACAAAGCAUGGCAAUUACAGUCAGAAAGAACUCAUCGCUGUGGGGCAAGGUGGACAGCACAGAGCCACGCUCAUCUUACACAGCUCUCACACAGACACGCAUGCUGGCAAAAGGCAUCCAGCCCAUAAGGAGCUUCUGAGAGGAAACAGGAUGGGGAAUUCCAAACAAAGAGACAGGCAAACAACGAGGUGCUGGCCGCUCCAUUAUGGCCUUGUUUGCUCCUUGUAUGCAGGAUCAUCCAUACAAUAAAGGCAAAAUUAAAAGUUCUCAGAUGUGCGGCACUGUUGGCUCAUGCUGCUAGCGUACGCAUAUUCUCUCCGCCUCUGGAUGGAUUGAAGAUACCACGUUCACAUGGGAGUGAAGGCCAGAGAGGAGAAAACUGCAUAUCGGCUUAGUGUAGCUGUUUUCAACAGUAUAAGCUGCUGUUGUACAAUGCGUUUUACAUGCUUAAGCUGCUAUAUAUGUGUUACAAAAUGGGGUGAACAAUUAGGCGGUUGGUCAACACUUAUGUAUCAUUUACAAAAAAAUUGCAUUUAUUCAUCCUCAUGUUGUCCCAAACCUGUAUGACGUUCUUUCUUCUGUGAAACACACAC